CCAAUAAUAUAUAUAUUAUCUUGAAUGGUUAAAUUUAAUAAUCAAAUUUUAAGUAUAAAACUAACAAAUUUAAUUGGGAAAACUUUAGCUUUAAAUGACCCUUCAGAGAAGAGGGGAAAGAGAGAAAAUUUUAGGUAUGGAUAAAACCAUAAUUCCUUGGGAGACUAAACAAUGAUCAAAUUACCGACAGCUGUCAAGUCCAGAUGUGAAGAACUGAGAGAAAAAUAAUAUCGUAAAAUAUCUUGGCAGUGAGAUCCACCUGCCAAUUCCAGUGGAAGAGGGGCAGUACAAAUUGGCCAAAUAAGGUCUACAAUGAAGUUUGAACCUCUCCAUCGAUAUGAUUGGGUGGACCAAGAAAUAAAACAGAGCAGCAGCAAGCUAGAGGCUUUUUCUUCGCUCCUUUUUGUUUGUUCUCGUCCUUUUUGCCUCAUCUCAAUGCUUCCACCUUUUUUUGAUAAGUAUAGUUAUAUAAAGAAAGAAGAAAAGACAAGGAAAGCCCACAAGGUAUGUUUAUGAGUCAGAUGUAAAAUCCCCCACCUUUAAUUUGAUAGGAAUUAUUUUAUUAAAUCUGAAUUCAUUAGCUUUUGUUUUCUUCUCUUUACUCAAAUUACUAUCCAUGUAAUCAUUGUCGUUCUUUUUGUUUAUGUAAUUAUUAUUUUUAUAAUUCUAUUUUUACAAUUAUAAAUUGUCCUCAUUCCAGUAGAUUUCCAACACUGGACUCUGAGUGCCACUUACUUGCACGCCUAAAUUUCUAAACAUGCGCUUGGUAUGAACGCGAUAAAUUGUCACACCUGGUGUCAGACAAUCCUGAUUUAGCUGUCUCCGCUCGACAGUU
rnacentral:lncRNA from 1 species